GUUGUUGUGGCCGAGUGGUUAAGGCGAUGAACUCAAAAUCCAUUGGGGUUUCCCUGCGUCGGUUCGAGUCCGUCCAACAACA